rnacentral:lncRNA from 1 species
CAGUUUUCUGUUGAGGUCUAUCCUGCAGAGGUACUCAAAUUGGAUUAGUGAUCGAUUUCUAGGUUUCGUCGUAAACCUAAUUGGUUAUUUCCAAUUACGUAAAUCAAUAGUUCAAACCGCACUCAAAGGUAGGGCAUUUCCCAUUUUAUAGAAGCUUCUGUACCAGAAACAAUGGUAUCUCCAAUUAUAGCCCCUCUGGGAUGUAAAAUAUCGGGAGCACAUACACAAAUGGAAUUCCUUUCUUGUACGAUACAAAAUGAAUUUCACUCAAUUACAUUACCCUUAGAGAAUACUUUUCCAGAUUAAACUUUUUCCUUUUCUGGCGGAGAUUUUGUGUAACCUCAAUUACUCCAAUUUCCAAUUUGAAAAAAGAAAGAUAUAUCUCAUUCAAAUUUCACACUGAGCUUUUGAUAUAUCCGUGAGACUGCCUACGUAUCUUGUGGUAACAAGAAUCAGGUCAAAUGUAGUUCAAACGGCAAAGUUGUUUGUUGUUUUUUCUUCGUUUUAUUUUCUCUCUUUUUUCCUUUUUUCUUUUUCUCUUUUCCUUUUUU